CUGGGGAGUCCUGGAGCGGAACCGAACCGCGAUGCAGAGACCCCAAUUCCUUCAACACCCCCGAGGAAGCGGCCGAGGCGUUCCUGGCGUCCCUGACCCAGAGUGUGGAGGCGGCCGAGGCCAACAGCACCCACGGCUCCACUGCCAAGAGAAGGAUCCGUUUGGAUUCGGGCUCGGCUCUCUCGGUGUUUUUGCUCCUGGAUUCCUCUCC